GUGUGCACCCCACAGGCUCUGUCUUGGGAGCCAUGAAGAAGUAGGAGGGGAUGAAACUCUCAUGUGUGGCAGUGGGCACAAGACUGGAUCGGUGACAGUCGGUGUUGAUGCCGUCUCUGUUCAUGGAGUGGGGCCCAUGUAGAUGGGAUGGGAGAGGGAGGCAGAGAUUAGGGCAAGAUUUGAUGCACCUUCAGAGCUUUGUGUAAUGCUGGGUCAUGCAUGGCUUUUGCAGCUGCACUGGCAGAGGAAUUGUCCUGGAGCCCUACCUGGAGGAGAGACUCUCAGAAGUGGACCUGAUCAGCCUGAACAUCCUUCUUAGCAGACAUGAACAGUUCUCAGUUUUCUCCCUCCCACAUACUUGACUGUGAGUAAGAGGACAUGGGCAGGUGUGCUAGGUGUGCAGUCCCAAAAGCUGUGUAUCGGGAGCCAUGAAGAAGUAGGAGGGGACAAAAAUCCUGCAGGGUGCACUUGCAGAAGAAGUGUCCAGGAGCCCCAGGCCAGGGAGAAGCUGGCAGAAGUGGACCUGAUCAGCCUGAGCAUCCUUCUAAGAAGACAUGAACAGUCCUCUCCUUUCUGAAUCCCGCUUAACUUGCUGUGGUACCAGAGGAAAAGAGAUCCUGCAUGAGAGUCUACUGCUGUCAUGCAAUGGAAAUCAAGUGAGAGCGAUGGGACUGCAGGAAAUUAUUGCUGCCAUGAAAAAGCCAUUCAACUGGGAGUGAAACAACUGCCACUUUCAGUGAGAUAAGUGUCUGCUUUGGUGAUUGCUCUGUUUUUGAGUAGCUGUAGUUAUGAGGGAGAGAAGGUCCCCAUUUUCAGGGAGUGCUCAGUUCUCUGGCCAGUAGCAGUGUGUCCUCUGCAGCAGAUGGUUGGAUCCAGGAGGAUGACUGCAGGUGGUGAGUUGCUUGCCUUCCACCCAUGUUUUUUACUCUGUCUUUCUCUGUUCUCUAGUAAGUUGGCCAACACACACCCUAUCUCUAUCCUUACCUUUCCUCCUGCCAUCUCCCUUCUUAGGACACAGGCAGGGGUGCUAGGUGUGCAUCCCCACAGGUUAGGUCCUGGGAGCCCUGGAGGAGUAGGAGGGGAAGGGGCAGUGGGUGCUAAAGUGGAGCAGUGACUGUUGGUGUUAACUCGUUCUCUGUUCGAGUGGCGCCAGUGUAGAUGGGAUGGAAGAGGGAGGCAGGAUUGAGGGCAAGAUUUCACACACCAAUAGAGCUUUGUGUCAUGAUGAUUCAUGCUUGGCUUUUGCAGGUGUUCCUGCAGAGGAAUUGUCCAGGAGCCCCAGCCAGAGGAAAGACUGGCAGAAAUGGAUCUGAGCAGCCCGGACAUCCUUCUAAGUAGAUAUGAACAGUCCUCAGCUUUCUGAAUUCUGAAUAACUGGCUGUGAGUCAGAGUACCAAGGAAAAAGAAGACACAUGUCAGACUGCUGCCCUCAUGCGAUGGACAGUGAUGAAGAGUGAUGGGAACUUGAGAAUUAUUCGAUGACACGGAACAGACACCACUGUCUCUGAGAUAAGUGUUUUGCUGAGGGUUCUUCUCAAGGCCCACCUGGCUCCAGAUAGAGAUGCCCUGUUAGCUGUGCCUGGAUUUGUGUUUUAAAAAAAAAAUUCCUGAACAGCUGUGGUUACAAGGGAGACAAGGUCCCCCUUUUCGGGGCUGGUCAUUUCUCUGUUCACAAGCAGUGUGUCCUCCACAGCAGAAGGUUGGAUACAGGGAGAUGGCUCCAGCUGGUGAGUUUCUUGCCUUCCUCCCAUGUUUCUCUUGCUGUCUGUCUUUUCUCUAGUGUGUUGGCCAACACUCUCUCUUUCUCUCUCUCUGUCUCUGUCCUUGCCUCUCCUUGUGCCUUUUCCCUUCAUAGGACACAGGCAGCUGUGCUAGGUGUGCAUCCCCACAGGCUAGGUCUCGAGAGCUAUGAACAAGUAGGAGGGGAUGAAAAUCAUGCAGGAUAGUGGGUGCGAGAGUGGAGGCAGGUACUGGAAGAUGUCGUGCACCUAGACUGUUUUUGGCAGUGAUGGCUCUUCCAUAGGUGAUUAGCUGUUCUUGCGGAGGGCUGCUCCAGGCCAGCGGAGCAGCCCCAGACAGAGUAGGAGCAUCUGGAGGAAGCAGACGUACCCAAUCUAGUUGUUUUGCUUUGCAGUGGAGCCAAGGAGCGAUCUUGUAAUGUUGGAGGAGCAGGUGUGUGUUUUUGUGAAAUGAUAUUUCUCUAUCCAGUAUCUGCAGAGUGAGGUGCCUCAUGGAGGGCAGAGAGAUGCUUCUCCUAUCCCUGGGAUGGGUCCUGGGGAAGGUCCAGCUCUGCCUGUGGCUGGUAGUGGUCUGGGAUUGUCCCUUUCCUGGAGGGCUGUAGCUUCUUAGGAGUGAUGAGCAUUUUAGGCCCUGGGUGGGCUGGAGAGGAAUAGAGAAGGGGGCCCCAAUGGGCAGCAGCCAGUGGGGUGUGUGUGUGUGUGUGUGUGUGUCCAUUUUUCUUCCAUGCCCCAGUGCUGGCCUAGCUUACAAGUGUUCUCUCUUUCUCUUUUUCAGUUCCUACUGAGAUUGGUCUCUGCCACAGGUUGGCCAGUCUCUCAUCAGACCAAAGAAGUAGUGGCCACCCUGAGCCCAUCCCUAGUGACGAAAGCCGGACAGUAAUCUGCAGAAGGGAUCAUCCAGGAGCCGCAGCUAGAGGAGAAACUAGAAGAAAUGAACCUGAGCAGCCUGGACAUCCUUGUAAGCAGAGAUGAACAGUCCUCAGCUUUCUGCCUUCCACAUAACUGGCUGUGAGUAAGUGGUCAGUGCUUGGAAUUCCUCACCUGUUCUCACUCCAGUUUUGUGCAGAGGCUCUGAACAUCCUCGUUGAAUGUGGUGCUUUGUGGGAUUAAAGCUGGAGAAGGGACCAGAGUCUCAGUUGUCAACUUUCACUAGGUAAAUAAGCACCCCAACUUUCAUAAUAAGCCAAAAAUCAAGCUAAUCCCAUUUCAAAACAAUUCCAAAGCAAGCCAAUCCCUUGGAACCCCAACACUGUGCGACUAAAUCUCCCAUUGCAAGUCGUCAGAGACUGUGGUGAGCCCCCUGUACACCCCUGACUCUUUCCCCUCUUUCCCCUGCGUGCCCCCAAUUGCUGGGAGCCGACCAAAAAAAAAAAGCAGUCAGAAACUACAGCAAACAACAACCUACAAGCCAAAAACUAGCCAACAAGCAAUUUGCAAGCCAAUUAGGCCAAAAACAUGACCAAUUUCUGCAUAUUUUUCUGCAGGUUUGGCAUUUCUGACCAGAGUCUGCUAUGCAGAGCUGUUAAUUGGCUUUCAGCUAGGCAGACCUGAUAUUUCAGUAAGAGUUUCUGGCGACUCCAGACGGGACUCUCCUAGCUCGGACAUUGGACUCCAGACGGCUGCAGUGAACUAGGAGCGGUGCCACUGGGGUGCAUAACCCCUCUUCUUCACUUCUCCACAGCCCCUGGGGUUCGUGAUCCGAUAAGAUAAUCAGAGAAAACUGAUGCCAGCUGAACAGCAUUCAAC